CAAUAGCGUAUAUUAAAGUUGUUGCAGUUAAAAAGCUCGUAGUUGAAUUUCUGUUUGAGUCGCACUCGAAGUCUUUUGGCGACUUGUUCGAUCAAACAUUAUGAACUUGCACGUGGCAACACGCGUAUGUUCACCUUUACUUUGAGAAAAUUAGAGUGUUUCAAGCAAGCAUCCGCUUUGAAUACUACAGCAUGGAAUAAUACAAUAGGACUUUAGGCCUAUUUGUUGGUUUCAGGCCUGAAGUAAUGAUUAAUAGGGACAGUUGGGGGCAUUCGUAUUGGAUGGUCAGCGGUGAAAUGCGUGGAUUCAUUCAAGACGAACUACUGCGAAAGCAUUUGCCAAAGAUGUUUUCAUUAA
rnacentral:rRNA from 1 species